UGAAAUAGUGAAGUCUAACACAUAUAAAUUACAGUCAUCUGGAAAUUCAGCUAAAAGUCACUGAGAGGAGAUGACACCCUUGGAAGGUCAUGGUUGGGCAGCAAGCAAGCAAAAGAAAACUGCUUAACCUAAAUGUACAGUUUGAAGGAUUUUGAGAUAUAUGCUACACAUGCCAGUGAAAUGAGAACUUGAACUUCAUAGACGCACAAUGACAUUUCAGAAGAGACACAAUAAAAGUUAAACUCAUGUAAGAUGACUUUCUAUGGCUGAUAAAAGUACUUGUGUGACAUAUGCUAAUUGGCUGGCUGCAUAACAAUGCUGUUUUCCAAUACAGAGAUAUCUGGUUCACACAUUCUUUCAGAUCUUCGUAAUCAGAUGAAAAACAUAGAAACAAGUGCCAAGACUGUACUGUAUGUCAUAAACAAACAAAAAAAGUACAUCUCUUAUGAAUAUCUCCAUACAUAUGUAUC